UGCCUAAGAUUCAACCUAACUAAAGUGGACCCGAACAUUUGAAUAAUACUUGAACUUGGCAAUAACAAUCAACAAUGAUUUGGUAGCCAUAAAGAUUCAUGGAUCAUGGAUAAGUACUGACAUAAUAUUGUAGAAAUUUGCAUACAUCAUAUUUUACCAUGCAUGAAAAAAAUGCUAUAUUUUGCACCAACUUUAUUUUCAAUAGUGAAGUAUGGUAGAACAUUUGUUUGUCAUGUUCUGUAAACAACAAUUCUAUUUUCAGGCCAAAGGGGG
rnacentral:lncRNA from 1 species